AUUGAACGCUGGCGGCAGGCCUAACACAUGCAAGUCGAGCGGUAGCACAGAGAGCUUGCUCUCGGGUGACGAGCGGCGGACGGCUGGGUAAUGUCUGGGAAACUGCCUGAUGGAGGGGGAUAACUACUGGAAACGGUAGCUAAUACCGCAUAACGUCGCAAGACCAAAGAGGGGGAACUUCGGGCCUCUUGCCAUCAGAUGUGCCCAGACGGGAUUAGCUAGUAGGUGGGGUAACGGCUCACCUAGGCGACGAUCCCUAGCUGGUCUGAGAGGAUGACCAGCCACACUGGAACUGAGACACGGUCCAGACUCCUACGGGAGGCAGCAGUGGGGAAUAUUGCACAAUGGGCGCAAGCCUGAUGCAGCCAUGCCGCGUGUAUGAAGAAGGCCUUCGGGUUGUAAAGUACUUUCAGCGGGGAGGAAGGUGCUGAGGUUAAUAACCUCAGCAAUUGACGUUACCCGCAGAAGAAGCACCGGCUAACUCCGUGCCAGCAGCCGCCGUAA
rnacentral:rRNA from 1 species